rnacentral:rRNA from 1 species
CCUACGGGAGGCAGCAGUGGGGAAUAUUGGACAAUGGGGGGAACCCUGAUCCAGCCAUGCCGCGUGUGUGAAGAAGGCCCUCGGGUUGUAAAGCACUUUCAGUGAGGAAGAACGCCUGGUGGUUAAUACCCAUCAGGAAAGACAUCACUCACAGAAGAAGCACCGGCUAACUCCGUGCCAGCAGCCGCGGUAAUACGGAGGGUGCGAGCGUUAAUCGGAAUUACUGGGCGUAAAGCGCGCGUAGGUGGCUUGAUAAGCCGGUUGUGAAAGCCCCGGGCUCAACCUGGGAACGGCAUCCGGAACUGUCAAGCUAGAGUGCAGGAGAGGAAGGUAGAAUUCCCGGUGUAGCGGUGAAAUGCGUAGAGAUCGGGAGGAAUACCAGUGGCGAAGGCGGCCUUCUGGACUGACACUGACACUGAGGUGCGAAAGCGUGGGUAGCAAACAGGAUUAGAUACACGGGUAGUC